rnacentral:rRNA from 1 species
AUGCACCAUGCUGCUCCCUUGGAAGGCCGACUGAGCGACACGGCGGCGAAGGCGGCGAACGAGCUGCUGCCGUCUGGCGCUAGCGGCAACCUGAGCAGCCUCUGCUCCUGGGUUGACAAGGUUAGGUUCAGGUACCACUGGUCGGCACCGCUCCACUUCAUCGACGUCCCCGACAACGUCUGCAGCUACUACUACGAUAGGGACUGCAAGGACGAGGAGGGCGUCAAGGGUCGCCGUGUCGCCGGCGUCAUCAACAAUUACACCUCCCAGCUCCUCACCUACGGAUCAUCAUCGCAAUCGCCAUAUUGCAAAUCUUCCUGCCAAUAUAACCUGACAGAAGCGCUCUUGUUCCUCUCACCCUUCAUGGGCGACAUCCACAGAUAG